CUGAAUAUUAGCAGUUGUAACGAUAGCGCACGGCUCAUUCCCUAUGAGCCAUUCCCCUAAGCCCGGAACAAUGCGGAUUGGUUCCGGGCUUCUUUUA
rnacentral:sRNA from 1 species